CGCUGGCGGCGUGCUUAACACAUGCAAGUCGAACGGUGAACACGGAGCUUGCUCUGUGGGAUCAGUGGCGAACGGGUGAGUAACACGUGAGCAACCUGCCCCUGACUCUGGGAUAAGCGCUGGAAACGGCGUCUAAUACUGGAUAUGUGACGUGACCGCAUGGUCUGCGUCUGGAAAGAAUUUCGGUUGGGGAUGGGCUCGCGGCCUAUCAGCUUGUUGGUGAGGUAAUGGCUCACCAAGGCGUCGACGGGUAGCCGGCCUGAGAGGGUGACCGGCCACACUGGGACUGAGACACGGCCCAGACUCCUACGGGAGGCAGCAGUGGGGAAUAUUGCACAAUGGGCGCAAGCCUGAUGCAGCAACGCCGCGUGAGGGACGACGGCCUUCGGGUUGUAAACCUCUUUUAGCAGGGAAGAAGCGAAAGUGACGGUACCUGCAGAAAAAGCGCCGGCUAACUACGUGCCAGCAGCCGCGGUAAUACGUAGGGCGCAAGCGUUAUCCGGAAUUAUUGGGCGUAAAGAGCUCGUAGGCGGUUUGUCGCGUCUGCUGUGAAAUCCGGAGGCUCAACCUCCGGCCUGCAGUGGGUACGGGCAGACUAGAGUGCGGUAGGGGAGAUUGGAAUUCCUGGUGUAGCGGUGGAAUGCGCAGAUAUCAGGAGGAACACCGAUGGCGAAGGCAGAUCUCUGGGCCGUAACUGACGCUGAGGAGCGAAAGGGUGGGGAGCAAACAGGCUUAGAUACCCUGGUAGUCCACCCCGUAAACGUUGGGAACUAGUUGUGGGGUCCAUUCCACGGAUUCCGUGACGCAGCUAACGCAUUAAGUUCCCCGCCUGGGGAGUACGGCCGCAAGGCUAAAACUCAAAGGAAUUGACGGGGACCCGCACAAGCGGCGGAGCAUGCGGAUUAAUUCGAUGCAACGCGAAGAA
rnacentral:rRNA from 1 species